GCAGGGAUAGCCAAGCUUGGUCAAAGGCGCAGGACUCAGAGUUCUGGGGACCAGCUUCGGAACCUUCUUUUCGUAAUCCGAGUACUUCCUGCC
rnacentral:tRNA from 1 species